GUCUAUGUAAUUUAUACAAAAUACUGGUCUUGUAAAUCAGAAAUAGGUCUUCACCUCUUAGACU
rnacentral:tRNA from 1 species